rnacentral:misc_RNA from 1 species
GAUGAAGAACGUAGCGAAAUGCGAUAAGUAAUGUGAAUUGCAGAAUUCAGUGAAUCAUCGAAUCUUUGAACGCACAUUGCGCCCCCUGGCAUUCCGGAGGGCACACCUGUUCGAGCGCCGUUGUAUUCCUAAGGCUCAGCCUUGUGUUGGUCUCCGUCCCGGCUUCACGGCUGCGGACUGGACCGAAACUCUUGUGGCGCCGUCUCGCGGCCGGCUUUGCGCAAUAGCAGCAGCAAGUCGCGGUUGGCGGUCGCCUGUUAAACAGCACUCUUGGCCUCGGAUCAGGUGGGGAUACCCGCUGAACUUAAGCAUAUCAAUAAGCGGAGGA